CUUAGGCAAAUUAAUCAGCCCUUCACCAUUAAGAAUGAUGUUAGCGGCUAGGCGCGGUGGCUCAUCCAAUCUUUACAUGGUAUAUCUUUCUCCAUCCUUUUACUUUUUACAUACUUACGUCAUUUAAAGUGGACUUCUAAUAUAUAGCAUAUAGUUGGGUCUUGUAUUCUUAACCAAAAUGACAAACUGGCUUUUAAAUGGUGUUUCUAGAACAUUUACCUUUAAUGUAACUGUUAAUAUAGUUGGAUCUAUCAUUCUAUUAUUUGUUUUCUGUUUUUCUCCUUUUUUUCUUCAUUCCUUUUUCUCCUUUUCUGAAUUUUUUUUUUUUUUUUGAGAGAGGGAAUUGCUCUGUUGCUCAUGCUGGAGUGCAGUGGUAUGAUCUCUGUUCACUGCAACCUCUGAUUCCCAGGCUCAAGCAAUCCUCCUGCCUCAGCCUCCUGGGUGGCUGGGACUACAUGCACACAUCACCAUGUCUGGCUAAUUUUUUAAUAUUUUGUUUUGGAGAGAUGGGGUCUUUCCAUGUUGCCCAGGCUGCUAAGUCCUGGGCUCAAAGAAUCUGCCUGCCUUGGCCUCUCAAACUGUUGGGAUUACAGACAUGAACAACCGUGCCUGGCUCUUUCCUGGAUUCUUUUGAAUUAUUUGAAUAUCUUUUGGUUUUCUAUCUCUUGGCUUUAAAAAUAAC
rnacentral:lncRNA from 10 species